rnacentral:rRNA from 1 species
GACGAACCGUGCGAACGUUAUUCGGAAUCACUGGGCUUAAAGGGCGCGUAGGCGGGCGGACAAGUCGGGGGUGAAAUCGUUCGGCCCAACCGGACAAGGGCCCCCGAUACUGGCCGUCUGGAGGGAGGUAGGGGUCGAUGGAACUUCCGGUGUAGCGGUGAAAUGCGUAGAUAUCGGAAGGAACACCAGUGGCGAAAGCGGCUUCCUGGUCCAGCACCGACGUUCAGGCACGAAAGCGUGGGGAGCAAACAGGG